GACGAACCGUGCGAACGUUGUUCGGAAUCACUGGGCUUAAAGGGCGCGUAGGCGGGCGUGUCAGUCGGCGGUGAAAGCCCACGGCUCAACCGUGGCAGUGCCGUCGAGACGGCGCGUCUGGAGGGAGGUAGGGGCACGCGGAACUUCCGGUGGAGCGGUGAAAUGCGUAGAGAGUCGGAAGGAACGUCGGUGGCGAAAGCGGCGUGCUGGACCUCUGCUGACGCUGAGGCGCGAAAGCCAGGGGAGCAAAGCGGG
rnacentral:rRNA from 1 species